rnacentral:rRNA from 3 species
UUAAGUUAUUAAGGGCGCACGGUGGAUGCCUUGGCACUAGAAGCCGAUGAAGGACGUUACUAACGACGAUAUGCUUUGGGGAGCUGUAAGUAAGCUUUGAUCCAGAGAUUUCCGAAUGGGGAAACCCAGCAUGAGUUAUGUCAUGUUAUCGAUAUGUGAAUACAUAGCAUAUCAGAAGGCACACCCGGAGAACUGAAACAUCUUAGUACCCGGAGGAAGAGAAAGAAAAUUCGAUUCCCUUAGUAGCGGCGAGCGAAACGGGAAGAGCCCAAACCAACAAGCUUGCUUGUUGGGGUUGUAGGACACUCUAUACGGAGUUACAAAGGACGACAUUAGACGAAUCAUCUGGAAAGAUGAAUCAAAGAAGGUAAUAAUCCUGUAGUCGAAAAUGUUGUCUCUCUUGAGUGGAUCCUGAGUACGACGGAGCACGUGAAAUUCCGUCGGAAUCUGGGAGGACCAUCUCCUAAGGCUAAAUACUCUCUAGUGACCGAUAGUGAACCAGUACCGUGAGGGAAAGGUGAAAAGCACCCCGGAAGGGGAGUGAAAUAGAACCUGAAACCGUGUGCUUACAAGUAGUCAGAGCCCGUUAAUGGGUGAUGGCGUGCCUUUUGUAGAAUGAACCGGCGAGUUACGAUUUGAUGCAAGGUUAAGCAGUAAAUGUGGAGCCGUAGCGAAAGCGAGUCUGAAUAGGGCGUUUAGUAUUUGGUCGUAGACCCGAAACCAGGUGAUCUACCCUUGGUCAGGUUGAAGUUCAGGUAACACUGAAUGGAGGACCGAACCGACUUACGUUGAAAAGUGAGCGGAUGAACUGAGGGUAGCGGAGAAAUUCCAAUCGAACCUGGAGAUAGCUGGUUCUCUCCGAAAUAGCUUUAGGGCUAGCCUCAAGUGAUGAUUAUUGGAGGUAGAGCACUGUUUGGACGAGGGGCCCCUCUCGGGUUACCGAAUUCAGACAAACUCCGAAUGCCAAUUAAUUUAACUUGGGAGUCAGAACAUGGGUGAUAAGGUCCGUGUUCGAAAGGGAAACAGCCCAGACCACCAGCUAAGGUCCCAAAAUAUAUGUUAAGUGGAAAAGGAUGUGGCGUUGCCCAGACAACUAGGAUGUUGGCUUAGAAGCAGCCAUCAUUUAAAGAGUGCGUAAUAGCUCACUAGUCGAGUGACACUGCGCCGAAAAUGUACCGGGGCUAAACAUAUUACCGAAGCUGUGGAUUGUCCUUUGGACAAUGGUAGGAGAGCGUUCUAAGGGCGUUGAAGCAUGAUCGUAAGGACAUGUGGAGCGCUUAGAAGUGAGAAUGCCGGUGUGAGUAGCGAAAGACGGGUGAGAAUCCCGUCCACCGAUUGACUAAGGUUUCCAGAGGAAGGCUCGUCCGCUCUGGGUUAGUCGGGUCCUAAGCUGAGGCCGACAGGCGUAGGCGAUGGAUAACAGGUUGAUAUUCCUGUACCACCUAUAAUCGUUUUAAUCGAUGGGGGGACGCAGUAGGAUAGGCGAAGCGUGCGAUUGGAUUGCACGUCUAAGCAGUAAGGCUGAGUAUUAGGCAAAUCCGGUACUCGUUAAGGCUGAGCUGUGAUGGGGAGAAGACAUUGUGUCUUCGAGUCGUUGAUUUCACACUGCCGAGAAAAGCCUCUAGAUAGAAAAUAGGUGCCCGUACCGCAAACCGACACAGGUAGUCAAGAUGAGAAUUCUAAGGUGAGCGAGCGAACUCUCGUUAAGGAACUCGGCAAAAUGACCCCGUAACUUCGGGAGAAGGGGUGCUCUUUAGGGUUAACGCCCAGAAGAGCCGCAGUGAAUAGGCCCAAGCGACUGUUUAUCAAAAACACAGGUCUCUGCUAAACCGUAAGGUGAUGUAUAGGGGCUGACGCCUGCCCGGUGCUGGAAGGUUAAGAGGAGUGGUUAGCUUCUGCGAAGCUACGAAUCGAAGCCCCAGUAAACGGCGGCCGUAACUAUAACGGUCCUAAGGUAGCGAAAUUCCUUGUCGGGUAAGUUCCGACCCGCACGAAAGGCGUAACGAUUUGGGCACUGUCUCAACGAGAGACUCGGUGAAAUCAUAGUACCUGUGAAGAUGCAGGUUACCCGCGACAGGACGGAAAGACCCCGUGGAGCUUUACUGUAGCCUGAUAUUGAAAUUCGGCACAGCUUGUACAGGAUAGGUAGGAGCCUUUGAAACGUGAGCGCUAGCUUACGUGGAGGCGCUGGUGGGAUACUACCCUAGCUGUGUUGGCUUUCUAACCCGCACCACUUAUCGUGGUGGGAGACAGUGUCA